UACGUAGGGGCAAGCGUUGUCCGGAUUUAUUGGGCGUAAAGAGCGUGUAGGCGGCCAUUCAGGUCAGCUGUGAAAACUCGAGGCUCAACCUCGAGACGUCGGUUGAAACCGUAUGGCUAGAGUCCGGAAGAGGAGAGUGGAAUUCCGGUGUAGCGGUGAAAUGCGCAGAGUAUCAGGAGGAAUACCUAUGGCGAAAGCAGGUAUCUGG
rnacentral:rRNA from 1 species